rnacentral:rRNA from 1 species
AGGAUUAGAUACCCGGGUAGUCCACGCCUUAAACGAUGGAUGCUAGGUGUGGGGGCGUAAGCCUUCGUGCCGCAGCUAACGCAUUAAGCAUCCCGCCUGGGAAGUACGGUCGCAAGACUGAAACUCAAAGGAAUUGGCGGGGGCCCGCACAAGCGGUGGAGCAUGUGGUUCAAUUCGAUGCAAAGCGAAGAACCUUACCAGGGUUUGACAUGCUGGCGUAAGCCUAUGUGAAAGCAUGGGGUGGUGUGGAGCUUGCUUCACACAGCCAGCACAGGUGCUGCAUGGCUGUCGUCAGCUCGUGCCGUGAGGUGUCCGGUUAAGUCCGGUAACGAGCGCAACCCUUGUUCAUAGUUGCCAGCAUUUAAGGUGGGCACUCUAUGGAGACCGCCGGCGACAAGCCGGAGGAAGGCGGGGACGACGUCAAGCCAUCAUGGCCUUUAUGUCCUGGGCUACACACAUGCUACAAUGGCGGAUACAAUGGGUUGCUAACCCGUAAGGGGGAGCUAAUCUCAUCAAAGUCCGUUUCAGUUCGGAUUGCAGGCUGCAACCCGCCUGCAUGAAGCUGGAAUCGCUAGUAAUCGUGGAUCAGCCACGCCACGGUGAAUACGUUCCCGGGCCUUGCACACACCGCCCGUCACACCACGAAAGCUGGUUCUGCCCGAAGUGGCUGGGCCAACCCGCAAGGGGGGCAGGCUCCGAAGGCAGGGCUGGUGAUUGGGGGUGAAGUCGUAACAAG